UUUAGGGUUUCUUGCUUUGAUUGUUUAGGGUUUUGUUCUAAUUCUUUUUGUUUGGUUUUAUUUUGAAGGAACAAAUUUUUUCUAUUGGUAAACCCUAACCUUUUGUUUCAGUCUGUUUAUUUCUCUGAAUCAGUAAACCCUAACCCAUGUUUUGUUUUGCAGGUACAAUCAAUAAACCAUAACCCAUGUUUUAUUUUGCAGGUAUAAUUUUUGUUUGCUCUUGAUAAACAACGAAAUGUUGUCUGUUGGACCGGUAUUCUAAGCUGCAUGGGGAAGAAUAUGAUGACAACUUCUUGAAGAGUGUGUUUCAAGAAGUGAUGUUGCAGGGCCUAAUGGUUCAUGCUACCUACUAUGGAAUCGGAAAUGAUAAUUUGGGGAACAAGGACGGAGCUGAUGCUGAAGAUAAUGAUUUUGGAAAAGAAAGCACCUCUGCAGUUUAUAAGAUCGGUGGUAGUGGCUACAAUGAGGUGGAAUCAACCGCAGCUGAAGUUUAUGUGAAUGAUGUUAAGUAGAAAACUCCAUUGUGGGGAAAAUGAAUGAUAAAAAUGGUGGUAAUGAUUCAACUCAAAUUACAGAUGAUGUUAAUGCUGCAGAAGUUGUUUUGGAAAGGCUGAGAGAGUGAGUUCGAUAAAAGCUUAUCACUCCAAAUAAAGAAUCUUAAGCGACUGGCGGGGCGAAGCCGAAUCAAAAAUGCAUCACGAUGGGUGCGUGACGAAGCGGAGCCAGACCGAAUUUAAAAUGCAUCUGAACGUGGGUGUCGCGAAGCUGAUAAUGACAGUACAACUAGUCAGUAUAUCAAUCAAUGUGAUGAAGUGGUGUAGGAUAAGGAGUAAUACAGUGUAGGAUAAGAUGUUAGCCUGUAAACUGUCACACAUGUGUUUAAUACGUGUGUAUCUUCAUUAGUUGUCUUUAGCUGUCAGAUGACGGUCUGUAUACAAGGAUGUCUUAACAGCUUUUGUCUGUUGUAUUGAAUUCUCUGAUAACCAUCAAUCUGUUAGAUUGUUCUUCAUCACCAUCUCUACCAUGUCAUUAUGGUAUCAGAUAGGUUAGGGUUUUCUUUUUCAAACCGACAUUGAUCCUGCAACCUGAAGAUUCAUCAUUCUUCUCUGUUGUUUUUCUCUCAACCUAUAAGCUUCUCAACUGUUUUACUAGUGAUCUUUUGUAUCAGAGACUUCAUUUCUUCCUAUUUUUUGUUUCUAACAUUAGUUUCUUGAAUCAUUUCGUUUCUUGAUUCAA